rnacentral:rRNA from 1 species
CUAGUCAUCCUCACCUCUUGGGCAAUCUAGAAACACCGCAACACAGCCCUCUUUGACAACGUUGCACCCUCCCAGAACGAAUUUCUCUAGGACAUUCAACAGGAGGCGAAACUAUGGGAAAGAACCGGCGCCAAAGGGUUCGAUAGAAUCAUUCCUGUAACAUAA